CGCGCCGUGAGGGAGGGAGCGGGCUCCGAGCCCCGUGCGGCUGUCGGGGCUGAGGGGACACCGCGGGGACAGCGAGCCGCCCCGCGGAGGAGGUGCCGGGCGGGAAGGAGCCCGCGCGGGGGAGAAUGCGGAGGCGGCCGCCGGCCCCGCGCGCGCGGCGCUUCCCGAGUUCCCGUCGCCGCUUUUCCUCGAGUGUUCGCUGGAGCGAGCACAAGACAGCGUUCUUUCCACCGAGCUCAGGCAAUCAUCACCAGUUGCUACAACCUCUGAGCCAAACUGCUUCAACGCUGCCUCAAUACUUCUACAGCAAAACAUGGGAUUGAGGGAGCAGCCCCUCCCAGAGCACCAGCCAGGAGGAAAUCCUGCUCCAGCCCCUUCUUCAGAUGGAUGCAGAGCUAAGACUUGUCACUAAAGUUAGGGACUGGGACUUAGAGUCUCCGGAGCCGCUGUGACUGGUGACGUUUUUACAGAGUGACUCUUCAAACCAGGAAAAGCACUCUGGAGUCAGGAAGCCCCAGGGGAGGAACAGCCCUCUGCCCUGUUCUCUGCAUUUCAGUCACCAAGCCCCAGGGGAGGGACGGCCCUCUGCCCCGCUGCUCUGUGCCUGCAGGAUGGCCCGCAGUUCCCAGUCCCUCCCAAAGCUGCCCCGAGCAGCGCAUGUAAAUCACCGAGCGGAAAAAACAAGCUUACAGCGGUUGCGAGGUACUUGGAAUCGUGAGAGAAGCUGAUGUGAGUCACGGGACAUUGCGAGAACUGGAAUUCCUCGCAUAUGGACUGAAGGGAAAUUGCAUCAAGGAUGUAAACGCUUCCAUCAGUAAAUCCAGCAGCCAGAAAAUGACCUGGAAAGCAGACCAGAAACCUCUCACGACACCAUCACUCCUCCCAGAAAGGCCAGUGCUUGGCACAUGGUCAGGUCACAGGGCUGGGAUACCUUCAGGAUCAUAGGAUAAGCACUGGAUGCCAGCCUCGGUGAAUAUCCUGCUAACGAGGUACUGGGUCUGCUUGUAUUCCCACACCUUCAGCAGCCCACAGUGACUCCCCACAGCCACCAGUGGCUCCUGAGGGUGGCAGGCAAUGGCAUUCACAGCUUUCUUCGCCUCUGUCAUGAUUCUUUCAAAGUUUGUGCUGUCUGUUGCAACAUGGAACAUGGUUGCAUCAGAGGUUGAAAGGAUAAAGUUCCUGUUUAGCAUGAGAGAAACAGAAUUCGAUGAAUCAGACCAACUGGCUCACGUCCCUGCAAGCUAUAUUACACAUCAGUCUUUUUUUGGCAAGUUAGUUGGACAAUCACUUAUAUUUUGUGAUACACAGUAUGCAAACGCUCCUUGACCUGGAAGGCAAGUGACACUUUGUAUUCAUGACCUGGGAAAUGGCCACGGGAAGACACCGGAGCCAGUUCCAUUUUCUACUUGGCUGGGCAAGCCAGAAGAUUAAUGACAUCUGGGGAGCUCCUGCCGUUUGCAAGUCACUGGUGUGUGAGAUGGACAAGUGAGCAACUGGAGAUACUCUGAAUGGCCUUGUCACGUGUCCCCAUGCCACCACUGCCAGUGGCUGCACGUUGGCCAUGCUGCCAUGGCCAGGGUCAGAGGGCAGUUUCAGUCCCUGUCUGCUCACUUGGCCACACUGAGCAGCACAGCAGGGAGGUGUCACUGUGUGACUGGUGAUGGGUAAGCAGACAGCAGGACCAUUAUUCAUAUUGCAGCACAAAUAUGUACAGUUUCAGUCUGCUUGAGUGAGAGUCUGGACCCCGUAAAAGGGACAAGAGAGGAUCACCCAGAAAUCCCAGAGUGGUUUGAGUAGGAAGGGACCAUAAAGAUCAUCUUGUUUCGACACUUUACACUAGACCAGGUUGCUCCAAGCCCCAUCCAAUCUGGGCUUGAAUGAUUCCAGGCAUGGGGCAUCCACUGCUUCUCUGGACAACCUGUGCCAGGACAUCACCACCCUCACAGUGAGGAAUUUCUUCCUAUAUCACAUCUGGCCUCUGUCAAUUUUUGCCAUUUUCCCCUUGUCCUGUCACUCCUUGUCCAAAGUCCCUCUCCAGCUGUUUUAGAGCCCUUGAGGCACUGGAAGGUGCUAGAAGGUCUCCUUGGAGCCUUCUCCAGACAGACAAGUGGGGAAGCACAGCCUCUUUGCCAGCUGUUCCAUCACAGCCACCAGUUUGUGCACAUCUGGCCCAGGCACUGAUGGACUCUGCACCCCUUGCGUGCCUUGCUGGGCUCUCCAGCCAUUCCUGAUCCCACCAGGCUCUGGGAUGAGCUCAGGCCUUUCCUUCCCCUUUGGGAAGCCAAACCAUCCCCCAGGACACUGCUCCAAGCUGGAGAAGAAUCUGUCCCACACGGCUCUUUGGAAAACACGUGUGGCUAAGAACAGACAUUGCCAAGAAAGCCUUAACAGGAGUGACAGACAUGUGGUUUGCAGGCUGGGUGGAGCCACACAACAGCUUCAUGUGGCCUGCAGACUCCCUGGAAGUCCUCAGGCACAGCUAUGUCACACAGAGGGACAGAGAGGGGCUGGUGACCAGUCAGUGUGGUACAACCCUGCACUGGUGCCAUGGCCCCAGUUAGCUUGCCAAGCCAUGAUAAAAUCUGGAUACAGCCAUGCCUGGGAAGGGUUUAAGGGGGGAUUAAGGGGCCCAGUGAGAGCUGGAGGCUUGGCAUUAGCACUGGCUGGUGGGUGGGUACUGACAGGGAAGCUGAUCAUCACCGUGCCUGCACUAACACCGUGUCUGUGCCAAGGCAUCACCUGGAGCUGAGUCUGGGACGUGCUGGAGCCCACCCACACUCCCUCCCUCUCCUGCCCAGGAGCCUGGGCACAAGGCUGAGUCCUGCUCCAGAGCAGGCAGAAGCUCAUGGAGCAGCCCUCACUGAGCACCUCCCCAACUUUCAGCUGCAAGGCAAACACAGGAGAAGACCUGGGUUGGUAAAGAGGCACUCACCUGGUGAGAAAAGGCUGGCUGCUGCCCGGGAGGGCACUGGGAGCAUCCCGAAGGAUUGUGGAGAAGGAGAUGGACUGGAUGGGACCCACUUUGUCGUGGCUGUAGGUGCUGAGGAGCCGCAGCUGCCCAUCGUAGAAUUUAACCUGCCCUUUCACAUCACCUGUGGCUAUACAGCUGCAGGGAAGGGAAGGUUAUUCACCAACACACUGCCUGACAACUCCAAAUAUUUCUUGAAGAGCAUCCUUGGGUGGAAGCAAACCUCUUCCCCUUUCUCUGCACAAGCACACCAGCAGAGCCCUGCACAGAUGUGCAGGAGAAAGGCAGGAUUGUGCAGAAACCAGCGGUUCUGCUGUGACCCUGCCGUGUCCCUGCCGUGUCCCCAAGGCUGUCGCAGCGUUUGGUGGCUGUCUGCUCCCUCUGCCGGUAGCAGCCAGGAGGCUGUCUGAGCUAUCCCAGGAGAGCUGGCAUCUCACCACCACGAGUUUUCAAGUUCAUUUCCACCCCCAGACAAACCCAUUGCUGGAAAAUUACUCAUAAACCAGCAGCACUUUCCUGCAUGAGUGACCGUGCUGCUAAGUGACUUAAAACGCCAACAUUUCUGCCACUCCUACAGCUACUGAAAAGGGCUGCCCUGUUACCUCUCCAACACCUGGAGCACGGUGAGACUCUCCUUCUGCAUUGCCACCACCUUGGCAGGUGUCACUCCGUGGGGUUUGGCCGGCAGCUCCUCGGGGACAGUGCGGGGAUCGUCCAUGUCCCACAGCACCAGCUUCCCGGCCGACGUGCCCGUCAGAGCUUGGGUGUUGUUAAAAUGGAAAACUGACUGGCUGAACUGUCCCACCAGGCACUUGAAGGUCUGUGGAGACAGCGGCCAGGCCGUGUUUUCAUCCCAGAGCUGGCUCUGCCCUCCUCAAGCAGAGAGGUUUCUGCUUGGUCCUCAUGGCAUUCCCUCCUGUCCCAUGGCAGGACAAGAGCCCCAGGAGAAAAUGCAGUGAGGCACUUUGGGGAGAGAGCUCUGCUUGAGCUCAGCUUGGACAAGCCUGGCUUGUCCCUGUCUGAGGGGUACAGGCCAGGGCCACUGGUUUUGCUUAAGGGGUUGGGGAGGGACAGUGCUGCUGCCAGCAGGAAAGCCAAGAGGGUGACAUGCUGUGGUCCCUCCCUGCUGUGCUCACCUGGUUGCUCAGGAAUGGUGUCCCAUACUGCAAACCAGAAUCAUCCUGGGGAAAGCAGAGAAAACAUCCAGGACAGGGAUUUUGGAACCAAGCUCUGCAGUGCCAGCAUGUCCCUUCCCCACCAUCUGGGCACUGGCCCCACACUGUGGUGACCAAAACAGGAAAGGUUCCAAGGUCUUCCAGAGAGCACAAAACAUCCUCUCCUUCCACCUGCUUCUUUCCAAAAGCUGCUAAAUGGCACAAGGCCCAUGGGAAAGCAGGAGUGGGAGAGGUGAAGAGCAUCCCUGCCACGGCUGGGCCUGACCAGUGUGGGAGUGGAGGGAGUCUGAUACUCUGUCCAGGCCACUUUGGGAUCUGGGAAGGGCAGGGAGCAGGGAAGGGACAGAUCUGCAGAGUGACCCCAGUUGUGGACAGACACCCAGCCCCUGAGCCCCCCCUGCCACCUCCUUUCUGGCACCAAAAACACGACUUCCCGUGUCUCUACUUACCCACAGGUAAAAUAUCACCUGGGUUUUGCUGUUGCUGACAAACUCAUGGGGAUUCUGAGGGUUAAAAAUGACAUAAUCCUGAAAUUCAAAGAAUUGCAUUAGCAGCAAGCUCAGCAAUGCUUUCUGCUUAUUCUCCCAUCCAAAACCACUGCUUUUAUCCAAAGCCACCUCACCAGCUGCACUGAACCGAAAUGAGAGGACACCCCAUGCCUGUCAGGCAUUAGAGGAACAGGGAUGAGCCCUUGGGAUGCUCUGCUGCAUCAGGGUGCCCCAGGGAUGGGGUGUGAUCCUGCCCCCCUUGGCACGGUCACUCACCUGAUACCCAAACUCAGGCUUCAGCUCUGUGCUGCACACGGGUUCCUCUGUGAGCAAAGUCCAUCUCCAAACACAAACUUUCUGAAAGAGAAGGGGAGAAAAAUCCAAGGAACACUCCCAUGGCUCUCUGGGAGGUUUGGGGUGCCAGGUGAAUGCCAGUCCCCACUGCAGGGGAUGAUGUGGCCUAAAAGACUGGAGCAGGCCAAACCCCAGCACAGCCUGGCAGCAGAAAGCUUAAUUUCAGGAAAUAAUGCUAGAAAUUGCUUAGCUGAAAGUGAUGAAGUCAGAAGCUUUUAUCCCAAAUUAAGAUCCAUUUUCUCAACUCUGCAGCAUUCACUUUAAUGAAAUCCAGGUCUGUCUUCUAAUGGCUCAGCAACAACAAAGCACCACUCUCCCCAUGUGAAUUCCCACCUCCCCUGUGCUGCACUGCAAAAACUUGCAAGUCUCUAUCCUGCAAAGCUAUGAAAGAGGAGACACUCUCUUCACCUGCACAGUAGCAGCACUAAUGGUCACCAGAUACUUGGCAUCCUGGGAAAUGGCAAUGGCACAGACCCCGUCCUCGGCAUGGCUCUCGAAGAUGGUGCGCACGGGUACCCUGCGGAGCACAGGUCCCAUGGGUGCUCCAGGCAGUCACUUGGCAAGGCCUGUGCCACAGCCCACCCACCCUGUGUGGAAGAAGGGAUGGAGGGAGGGAGGCUGCAAACACUGGUGCUGCCACAGGCUGGUGCUCAGUGGCCCCUCCAUCCCUUCCUCCCAAGUUGAUGGCACUGGGAAACAACUCAGCAGGGAUCUUUGAAGAUCCUACAGCAUGGAGAUGUGGUGUACUUAGUCUGGGGGAGCUCAGCCCCAUCUCAUGUCCCAUGAGUGUGGGUGAUACAAGGACUGUGAAGGACUUGGUUUGGUUUUGGUUCUUUUACUGCUUUUUAGUCUGUCCCUGUGUUCUCCCAUUUUACUCUCAGUUGAGACUGGAGUCUGAGUGAUUUAUUGGACUCAGGGGGUUUCCAAAAGAGGAGGUUCCUGGGAGCUUACCCAGAGUAGGAGUCCCACACGAUGAUCAUAGCAUCUGGCCCUUGGUCAGCAGUGGCAACCCAGCGUUUGUCUGCACUCACACACAGGCAGGAGAUGACAUUUGUGUGACCCUGGGGAGAGAAGCAGCAAAGUGCCUUGGAGGCUGCAAACCUGGGGCUGUUCUGUUCAUACCUUUUGUAUGGGCUG